rnacentral:rRNA from 1 species
GUCUAUGGCCAUGCUACCCUGAGCAAGCCCGAUCCCGUCUGAUCUCAGAAGCUAAGCAGGAAGCUAAGCAGGGUUGGGCUUGGUUAGUACUUGGAUGGGAGACCACCUAGGAAGACCAGGUGCUGUAGAUG